rnacentral:rRNA from 1 species
CCAACAGGGAUUGCCUCAGUAACGGCGAGUGAAGCGGCAACAGCUCAAAUUUGAAAUCUGGCUCUUUUGGGGUCCGAGUUGUAAUUUGUAGAGGGUGUUUCGGGCGAGGCGCCGGCCUAAGUUCUUUGGAACAGGACGUCAUAGAGGGUGAGAAUCCCGUAUGCGGCCGGUGACCGACCCCAUGUGAAACCCCUUCGACGAGUCGAGUUGUUUGGGAAUGCAGCUCAAAAUGGGUGGUAUAUUUCAUCUAAAGCUAAAUACCGGCCAGAGACCGAUAGCGCACAAGUAGAGUGAUCGAAAGAUGAAAAGCACUUUGGAAAGAGAGUUAAACAGUACGUGAAAUUGUUGAAAGGGAAGCGCUUGCAACCAGAUCCGUCUCCGGGUGAUCAGCCUCCGUUUUCGGGGGUGCACUCGCCCGGUGAUGGGCCAGCAUCGGUUCGGGCGGUCGGAUAAAGGCCAGAGGAAUGUAGCUUCCUUCGGGGAGUGUUAUAGCCUCGGUGCCAUGCGGCCAGCCGGGACCGAGGAUCGCGCUUCGGCUAGGAUGCUGGCGUAAUGGUUGUAAGCGGCCCGUCUUGAAACACGGACCAAGGAGUGUAAUAUUUAUGCGAGUGUUUGGGUGUUAAACCCAUACGCGGAACGAAAGUGAACGGAGGUGAGAACCCAUUCGGGUGCAUCAUCGACCGAUCCGGAAGUUUACGGAUGGAUUUGAGUACGAGCAUAACUAUUGCGACCCGAAAGAUGAUGAACUAUACCUGAAUAGGGUGAAGCCAGGGGAAACCCUGGUGGAGGCUCGCAGCGGUUCUGACGUGCAAAUCGAUCGUCAAAUUUGGGUAUAGGGGCGAAAGACUAAUCGAAUCAUCUAGUAGCUGGUUCCUGUCGAAGUUUCCCUCAGGAUAGCAGUAACGUUUUCAGUUUUAUGAGGUAAAGCGAAUGAUUAGAGGUCUUGGGGAUGCAACAUCCUUAACCUAUUCUCAAACUUUAAAUAUGUAAGAAGUCCUUGUUACUUAGUUGAACGUGGACAUUCGAAUGUACCGUUACUAGUGGGCCAUUUUUGGUAAGCAGAACUGGCGAUGCGGGAUGAACCGAACGCGAGGUUAAGGUGCCGGAAUGCACGCUCAUCAGACACCACAAAAGGUGUUAAUUCAUCCAGACAGCAGGACGGUGGCCAUGGAAGUCGGAAUCCGCUAAGGAGUGUGUAACAACUCACCUGCCGAAUGAAUUAGCCCUGAAAAUGGAUGGCGCUCAAGCGUGCUACCCAUACCUCGCCGCCAGGGUAGAAACAAUGCCCUGGCGAGUAGGCAGGCGUGGGGG